rnacentral:rRNA from 1 species
ACCUAUUCUCAAACUUUAAAUGGGUGAGAAGUCCGGCUUGCUCGAUCGAAGCCCGGACGUACGGAUGUGAGUGCCCAGUGGGCCACUUUUGGUAAGCCGAACUGGCGCUGUGGGAUGAACCAAACGGGGAGUUACGGCACCCGAUGCGAGACGCUCAUUAGACCCCAUGAAAGGUGUUGCUUGCUGACGACAGCAGGACGGUGGCCAUGGAAGUUGGAAUCCGCUAAGGAGUGUGUAACAACUCACCUGCCGAAGCAACUAGCCCUGAAAAUGGAUGGUGCUCCAGCGUCGAGCCUAUACUCCCCCGCUGCGGCAGAGCUCUCCUAGAGAGAGGUUUACGCCGCAGUGAGUAGGAGGGUCGCGGUGGCGAGCGCAGAAGGCCAGUCCGUGAGGACGGCUGGAGCCGCCACCGGUGCAGAUCUUGGUGGUAGUAGCAAAUACUCAAGUGAGAACCUUGAGGACUGAAGGUGGAGAAGGGUUCCAUGUGAACAGCAGUUGAACAUGGGUCAGUCGGCCCUAAGGGAUCGGAGAAGUCCGUUCCGAAGCGGGACGUUACSAUUCGCCUUGCGAGUCUUGUGCGAGUCCCGCUGCCGACCGAAAGGGAAUGGGGUCAAUAUUCCCCAACGCGGACACGGAGAUCGGUCCCUCGGGACCCAGUGCGGCGACGCAACCGAACUCGGAGACACCGACGGAGGACCCGGGGAAGAGUUGUCUUUUCUUUGUAAGAGUUCGUGUCCCUGGAAUCGGCUCGUCCGGAGAUAGGGAUGUUGUUCUCGUAAAAGCACCGCGGCUCUUGCGGUGUCCGGUGCGCCUCUGCCGGUCCUUGCAAAUCCGAGGGAGAGAGUGUGAUUUUCGUGCCGGUCCGUACCCAUAUCCGCAGC